AAUCCUAAAUAAAUCUUAAAAAAAUCUUUAAUAAAUUCUAGUCAAAUCUUAAAUAAAUCCUAGUCAAAUCUUAAAAAAAUCCUAACCAAAUCCUAGACAAAUUCUAACCAAAUCCUAAAAAAACUCUAAAUAUAUUCUAAUCAAAUCUUAAAUAAACUUUAAAUAAAUUCUAAUCAAAUCCUAAAUAAAUCCUAACCAAAUUCUAAUCAAAUUCUAAACAAAUCCUACCAAAUCCUAAAUACAUCCCAAGUAAUUCCUAUAGCAGAUUUAAACCUCAAUAACUUAUGAAUGAAUUAU
rnacentral:lncRNA from 1 species